rnacentral:lncRNA from 1 species
UACAAAUAGUAAAUAACCUUUAUUUCUUAUUUCAUCAAUUAUCAGUUUGAGAUAUGUUUUACUUAACAAUUUGUAUUCUGCUGUAUUAAAAAAACUCAUUAUUCUGGAAUAAAUUCAGAUUUACAUAAAAGUUACAAAGAUAGUACAGAGAAUACUCGUAUGUCCUUUACCCAACAUCCCCCAAUGUUAACAUCUUACAUAACUACAGUACAUUUGUCACAACCAAGAAAUUAAUAUUGGAAUAAUACUAUUAACAAAAUUCCAGACUUUGUUUAGAUUUAGCCAAUUUUUUUCCACUCAUGUCCUUUUUUCACUGUCAAUCUGGGAUAUCACAUUGUAUUUAGUUGUCAUGUCUCCUUAGUCUUCUCUGUUCUGUAAAAGCUUCUCAGACUUUCCUUGUUUUUUCAGGUCCUUGAUACUUUUUAGUACUGGUCAAGUAUUUGUAGAAUGCCCUUUAUUAUUAUUAUUAUUUUUUUUUUCUGCUUAGAUUUAACACAUUCUAUCAGAGAGUACAUGAUAUCACCAUGCCUUAUCAUUGGUGAAGUUAACCUUGAACUUGGUUAAGGUGCUGUCUGCCAGGCCUCUUCACUGUAAAGUUACUGCUUUUCCCUCUUCAUACUCUGUUCUUUAAAAGUCAGCAGUCCAGUCCAUAUUCAAGAAGAGGUAAAUUAAGUUCCACCUCCUGAAAGUGUGUUCUACAUAUAUUAUUUGGAAUUUUUCUGUAAGGAAGAUUUGCUUCUUUUCUGCCAAGUAUUUAUUUAGUCAAUCAUUUAUUUAAAUCAACAUGGAUUUAUAGAUAUUGACUUUAUUUUUUAGGUUAUAAUCCAAUCCUCUCAUAUUUAUUUUGUUGCUCAAACUGUCCCAGCUUGGACCACUGGGAGACAUUUCAGGAUAAUAAUAUCCUGAAGGUGAUCAACAAUAUUGCAAUACCUAUUAUACAGUAGGUAGUUUUGGGAGCAUUUUAACAUGAUACCAAAUGUAAAAUGAAUCUACCUUAAAUUUAUAUAUGGAAAAAAUCAACUGAAGACCGAGAAGAUCACUUAAAAAUCAUAUGUAAUUAUGUAUUUCUUAAACCUUUAUACUUCAAAAAGCAACCUGACAUCACAGAUUGAGAAAAUGUAAUUACAUCUUCAACAGAAUGCUAUAGAAUAACAAUGUCAUUGUAAGGAAAAAGCAAAUAAUAAACCAGUCAGAAGUGCUACAAAAGAAAACACUGAGGAAAAAAUAGCAAAAUGUAAAGGUGUAAGAAUUUUAAUUGUCUGCAUUUCCUAACUUCCAUUCCUCAGCCUCCAGAAAUCUAACAUUUGCCACUAUACAAAUGGCUCUCAGACACAAGACAAACUAACCGCCAAAGCCAAUCAUCCACUUUCAGUACUUACCUAACCAAUCUCCCAUAACACUUGACACUCUUUUUUUUAAUUAAUUAAUUUUUUUUUUUUGAGACGGAGUUUCUCUCCUUGCCCAGGCUGGAGUGCAAUGGCGUGAUCUCAGCUCACCACAACCUCCACUUCCCAGGUUCAAGCAAUUCUCCUGCCUCAGCCUCCUGAAUAGCUGGGAUUAUAGGCAUGUGCCACCACGUCCGGCUAUUAUUUGUAUUUUUAGUAGAGAUGGGGUUUCGUCAUGUUGGUAAGGCUGGCCUUGAACUCCCGACCUCAGGUGAUCUGCCCGCCUCAGCCUCCCAAAGUUCUGGGAUUACAGGCGUGAGCCACCACGUCCACCCACUUGACACUCUUGACUAUAAUAAACUCACUUAAGAAACCCACUGAAUUCACCAUAAAUAUUGUCAUUCCUUCUCAUAGCCUUAAUAAUAAAGUAUCUAUAAUUAUCUUCAGGUUUUACCUCUCCUUUGAGCUACAGAUCCAUCUGUCCUACAAAACAGGCUUGAAAUCCAAAUUUAUUACCUAUUUCCAACCUUAUCCUUUUGCAUAUCUCAUUUCACUUAAUCACAUCAUCUCUACCUUGGCUCAGAGCCUCAUAAUAAGAGCCUCAUAAUAUUUUGUGGGAGCAGUUUCCAAACUGAUCUACCUGAUCUCUUUUCACUAAUCCAUCUAUCACACUGCUGUCAAUGUAAUCUCAACAAAUUAUUCCCCAUCUUAAAACCCUUAACUUCUCAUACCUUAUAAAGUAAACUCUAUACUCUUGGGAGUCUCAUAUAAACGAGGACUUUAUGAUCUGCCUAUCUUUCCAGUCCCAUCUCUUGGGUCCCAUAUCAAACCAUUAACACUUAACUAAGCACAGUAACACAUCCCCAUGCCCUUGCAAAGCUGAUAUCUAGUGUAAGAAACACGUGUCACACAUUAUUCUUCGCUGCUAAAUUCAAAACUCCCUCCUCCUUCCCAAGACCUUUAAAGUCAGUCCCUCACUUCUCUGCUCCCCAAAAUGCCUUGUAAGUAUCUCAAUAUUAAGAACCGUCAGGCUGUGCGCGGUGGCUCACACCUGUAAUCCCAGCACUUUGGGAAGCCGAGGCGGGUGGAUCACCAUAGGUCAGGAGUUCGAGACCAGCCUGGUCAACAUGGUGAAACUCCGUCUCUACUAAAAACACAAAAAUUAGCUGGGCAUGGUGGCACACACCUGUAAUCCCAGCUACUCAGGAGGCUGAGGCAGGAGAAUUGCUUGAGCCUGGGAGGCGGAGGUUGCAGUGAGCCGAGAUUGCACCAUUGCACUCCAGCCUGGGCAACAGAGCAAGACUCCGUCUCAAAAUAAAAAAAUGAAUAAAUAAAUAAACACUGUUAAAAGCUAAGGAACACUCAGAUUCUCCACUAAGUUUUAAUUUUUCAAAAGUUCAUGAAUAAUGAAAAUCAGGAACAAAAACUCUUUGUAUUCGAGGGGUUUAUCUUUUCCCUAAUACACAAGUCUUUUUUUGUUUUUUGUUUUUUUUUUAAGAUGGAGUCUCGCUCUGUUGCCCAGGCUGAAGUGCAGUGGUGCUAUCUCGGCUCACUGCAAGCUCCACCUCCAGAGUUCACGCCAUUCUCCUGCCUCAGCCUCCCGAGUAGCUGGGACUAUAAGCGCCUGCCACCAUGCCUGGCUAAUUUUUUUUGUAUUUUAAGUAGAGAUGGGGUUUCAUCGUGUUAACCAGGAUGGUCUCGAUCUCUUGACCUCAUGAUCCGCCCACCUCGGCCUCCCAAAGCACUGGGAUUACAGGUGUGAGCCACUGCGCCUGGCCUAAUGCACAAGUUUUUAAUCUUUUAGGGGAAUAAUAAUAAUAACUAAUAUUUGCAUGCUUACUAUGUGAUUACUUUUCAUAAUACCCCUACAAAUCCCAUUAUAUAGGAGGUUUAGAGAAUAUACUGAGGUUUAGAGAAUUUACUUGGAAAAUCUGAUGAAAUUUUUCUAGAUUAUCACUAAAAAAGAUGCACAAACAUAUAUACCCGUAAUUUUACUUACAACAUCAGAGGGUUUAUGGACUUCCUAGAGUUAUUUUACAAACUCUUAGGCUUAAGAUCUCUCACAAAGAACUUCUAAUCUUUUAUUCGAGUGGCAAAUGCUUACUCUUUGUUUUCUAUCUUCUCAAUUCUUAAAAGGUGUAUAAUUAAGAGAGAAAAAGAUGUACAAUUCUUUCUAGAUGUACAAAUGCAUUUUCCAGAUUUCUUUUUUUUCUAUCUAAUUGAAGCAGCUUUUAUGAAAACAUCAAAAGGUAUGCUGCAAAAUGAAGUCUGUCUGAAUGAAUAUUCAGUUAAAUUUUACAAUGCUGAAAAUGUCCAAUGUUUGAAUUUUUAUUAUGAGACAUACAGUAUUAAUAACAUAUUCUUCCUGUAACAAAGAUGCAUUUAUAACUACUGGAUUAAUAUACAUUAAAAAUCCUUCCAGC